AUGCACGCUGGCGGCGUGCUUAACACAUGCAAGUCGAACGGAAAGGCUCCUGCUUGCAGGGGUACUCGAGUGGCGAACGGGUGAGUAACACGUGGGUGAUCUGCCCAGCACUUCGGGAUAAGCCUGGGAAACUGGGUCUAAUACCGGAUAGGACGAUGGUUUGGAUGCCAUUGUGGAAAGUUUUUUCGGUGUGGGAUGAGCUCGCGGCCUAUCAGCUUGUUGGUGGGGUAAUGGCCUACCAAGGCGUCGACGGGUAGCCGGCCUGAGAGGGUGUACGGCCACAUUGGGACUGAGAUACGGCCCAGACUCCUACGGGAGGCAGCAGUGGGGAAUAUUGCACAAUGGGCGCAAGCCUGAUGCAGCGACGCCGCGUGGGGGAUGACGGCCUUCGGGUUGUAAACUCCUUUCGCUAGGGACGAAGCGCAAGUGACGGUACCUGGAGAAGAAGCACCGGCUAACUACGUG
rnacentral:rRNA from 1 species